rnacentral:rRNA from 1 species
AGCAGCCGCGGUAAUUCCAGCUCCAAUAGCGUAUAUUAAAGUUGUUGCAGUUAAAAAGCUCGUAGUUGAAUUUCGGGAUCAGUACGGUGGUCGUGCCUCCGGUAUGUACUGUUGUUACUGGUUCCUCCCUUCUGAAGAACUAUCAUGUCAUUAAUUUGGUGUGGUGGGGAAUCAGGACUGUUACUUUGAAAAAAUUAAAGUGUUUAAAGCAGGCUCGCGCUUGAAUACAUUAGCAUAGAAUAAUGAAAUAGGACGUUUGAUCCUAUUUUGUUGGUUUCUAGGAUUGACGUAAUGAUUAAUAGGGAUAGGUUGGGGGCAUUAGUAUUCAAUUGUCAGAGGUGAAAUUCUUGGAUUUUAUGAAGACUAACUA